rnacentral:rRNA from 1 species
GUAGUCAUAUGCUUGUCUCAAAGAUUAAGCCAUGCAUGUCUAAGUAUAAGCAACUUAUACGGUGAAACUGCGAAUGGCUCAUUAAAUCAGUUAUCGUUUAUUUGAUAGUACCUUACUACAUGGAUACCUGUGGUAAUUCUAGAGCUAAUACAUGCUAAAAACCUCGACUUCGGAAGGGGUGUAUUUAUUAGAUAAAAAACCAAUGCCCUUCGGGGCUCCUUGGUGAAUCAUAAUAACUUAACGAAUCGCAUGGCCUUGCGCCGGCGAUGGUUCAUUCAAAUUUCUGCCCUAUCAACUUUCGAUGGUAGGAUAGUGGCCUACCAUGGUGGCAACGGGUAACGGGGAAUG